GUUUGACUUGUUUCUUGGGGUGUUAACAGGCAUGCUUUCUCCUUCCUCAUAGCAGGAGGGAGCUUCUGUUCGCUCUCCGAGCUAAGCCAGCUGUGUAGGGCCAGUUUAUUGGUGGAAUGGUCUAUAUACGUUUUCAGGUAGCAGUAAAGUAUUUUACCCGGAAAGACAUAAAUAGAAAUUUCUCAUUAAUUUUAUUAUUUCAAUGACAGCACUAAAUCC